GACGAACGCUGGCGGCGUGCCUAAUACAUGCCAGUAGAACGCUGAAGAGAGGAGCUUGCUCUUCUUGGAUGAGUUGCGAACGGGUGAGUAACGCGUAGGUAACCUGCCUUGUAGCGGGGGAUAACUAUUGGAAACGAUAGCUAAUACCGCAUAACAAUGGAUGACACAUGUCAUUUAUUUGAAAGGGGCAAUUGCUCCACUACAAGAUGGACCUGCGUUGUAUUAGCUAGUAGGUGAGGUAAUGGCUCACCUAGGCGACGAUACAUAGCCGACCUGAGAGGAUGAUCGGCCACACUGGGACUGAGACACGGCCCAGACUCCUACGGGAGGCAGCAGUAGGGAAUCUUCGGCAAUGGGGGCAACCCUGACCGAGCAACGCCGCGUGAGUGAAGAAGGUUUUCGGAUCGUAAAGCUCUGUUGUAAGUCAAGAACGGGUGUGAGAGUGGAAAGUUCACACUGUGACGGUAGCUUACCAGAAAGGGACGGCUAACUACGUG
rnacentral:rRNA from 1 species